rnacentral:rRNA from 1 species
UACGGGGGGGCAAGGCGUUGUUCGGAAUUACUGGGCGUAAAGGGCGCGUAGGCGGCCCGCUAAGUCGAACGUGAAAUCCCCGAGCUCAACUCGGGAACUGCGUCCGAUACUGGCGGGCUUGAAUCCGGGAGAGGGAUGCGGAAUUCCAGGUGGUAGCGGUGAAAUGCGUAGAUAUCUGGAGGAACACCGGUGGCGAAGGCGGCAUCCUGGACCGGCAUUGACGCUGAGGCGGCGAAAGCUAAGGGGAGCAAACGGGG